rnacentral:rRNA from 1 species
GACGAACGCUGGCGGCGUGCUUAACACAUGCAAGUCGUACGGUAAGGCCCUUUCGGGGGUACACGAGUGGCGAACGGGUGAGUAACACGUGAGUAACCUGCCCACAACUUUGGGAUAACGCUAGGAAACUGGUGCUAAUACUGGAUAUGUGCUCCUGCUGCAUGGUUGGGGUUGGAAAGCUCCGGCGGUUGUGGAUGGACUCGCGGCCUAUCUGCUUGUUGGUGGGGUAGUGGCCUACCAAGGCGGCGACGGGUAGCCGGCCUGAGAGGGUGACCGGCCACAUUGGGACUGAGAUACGGCCCAGACUCCUACGGGAGGCAGCAGUGGGGAAUAUUGCAAAAUGGGCGCAAGCCUGAUGCAGCAACGCCGCGUGCGGGAUGACGGCCUUCGGGUUGUAAACCGCUUUCAGCAGGGACGAAGCUUUUUGUGACGGUACCUGCAGAAGAAGCACCGGCUAACUACGUG